rnacentral:piRNA from 1 species
UUGCCUAGCAUGCACUAGGUCCUGGGUUC